GAUGAACGCUGGCGGCGUGCCUAAUACAUGCAAGUCGAGCGAACGGACGAGAAGCUUGCUUCUCUGAUGUUAGCGGCGGACGGGUGAGUAACACGUGGAUAACCUACCUAUAAGACUGGGAUAACUUCGGGAAACCGGAGCUAAUACCGGAUAAUAUUUUGAACCGCAUGGUUCAAAAGUGAAAGACGGUCUUGCUGUCACUUAUAGAUGGAUCCGCGCUGCAUUAGCUAGUUGGUAAGGUAACGGCUUACCAAGGCAACGAUGCAUAGCCGACCUGAGAGGGCGAUCGGCCACACUGGAACUGAGACACGGUCCAGACUCCUACGGGAGGCAGCAGUAGGGAAUCUUCCGCAAUGGGCGAAAGCCUGACGGAGCAACGCCGCGUGAGUGAUGAAGGUCUUCGGAUCGUAAAACUCUGUUAUUAGGGAAGAACAUACGUGUAAGUAACUGUGCACAUCUUGACGGUACCUAAUCAGAAAGCCACGGCUAACUACGUGCCAGCAGCCGCGGUAAUACGUAGGUGGCAAGCGUUAUCCGGAAUUAUUGGGCGUAAAGCGCGCGUAGGCGGUUUUUUAAGUCUGAUGUGAAAGCCCGCGGCUCAACCGUGGAGGGUCAUUGGAAACUGGAAAACUUGAGUGCAGAAGAGGAAAGUGGAAUUCCAUGUGUAGCGGUGAAAUGCGCAGAGAUAUGGAGGAACACCAGUGGCGAAGGCGACUUUCUGGUCUGUAACUGACGCUGAUGUGCGAAAGCGUGGGGAUCAAACAGGAUUAGAUACCCUGGUAGUCCACGCCGUAAACGAUGAGUGCUAAGUGUUAGGGGGUUUCCGCCCCUUAGUGCUGCAGCUAACGCAUUAAGCACUCCGCCUGGGGAGUACGACCGCAAGGUUGAAACUCAAAGGAAUUGACGGGGACCCGCACAAGCGGUGGAGCAUGUGGUUUAAUUCGAAGCAACGCGAAGAACCUUACCAAAUCUUGACAUCCUUUGACAACUCUAGAGAUAGAGCUUUCCCCUUCGGGGGACAAAGUGACAGGUGGUGCAUGGUUGUCGUCAGCUCGUGUCGUGAGAUGUUGGGUUAAGUCCCGCAACGAGCGCAACCCUUAAGCUUAGUUGCCAUCAUUAAGUUGGGCACUCUAAGUUGACUGCCGGUGACAAACCGGAGGAAGGUGGGGAUGACGUCAAAUCAUCAUGCCCCUUAUGAUUUGGGCUACACACGUGCUACAAUGGACAAUACAAAGGGCAGCGAAACCGUGAGGUCAAGCAAAUCCCAUAAAGUUGUUCUCAGUUCGGAUUGUAGUCUGCAACUCGACUACAUGAAGCUGGAAUCGCUAGUAAUCGUAGAUCAGCAUGCUACGGUGAAUACGUUCCCGGGUCU
rnacentral:rRNA from 1 species